CUGAAGCAAUAAUUUGAGAAGUGUUACAAAUCGUUGUACAGAUUGGCUGGCAAAUGCCCAGAUCGUAUCAAAAGCUGCGACUCAUCUUAGAACCGGCUAUUGUAAUUACUAAAUCAACAAAAUUUCGUUCAAUAGCUAACCUACAGUUCUGAAGCGAUAAUUUGAGAAGUAUUAUAAGUCGUUAUAUUGGUCCUAUAAAUUAAGGAUGGCAAAUAGAUC
rnacentral:lncRNA from 1 species